UUGAUAAGCGCAGCCCUUCUGAGUGAAGGGUUGCGCUUGACAAAAAAACGCAGCCCUAUAUGGGCUUUUUUUAAAAUAAAAAAUUAAAAUGUAUUCGCGGGCUCAAAUAUUAAGCGGGCUUCAAGUAUUUCCCUCAUUCUCUCUCCUCUCUCACGUCCCUUCUCCUCCUCAAGCUCUUAAACGUAUUCUUUCUCUCUCCUCUCCUUCCCACACCGACCACCUCUCUCCUCACUCUCCUUCUCCAAAUCACUCGUUCCGCUUCCUCCUCCUCGUUCUCCGUCCGUCUUCUUCGAUGAGAAGGAACUUGAGCGGUCGGUGAGAAGCGGCGGCGUGGUGCGGUGCUUUACGAGGUCUUCAAUUCGCUCCAAAUUAUCUGCUCCAAUCCGAGGCUAGAGUUACAUAUAGCUCGAGUGUGCUUAUUGUUUCUCUGCUUGUUAUGUUGCUGCUACUUGUCUGCUAUCAUCAGAUGCAUUAGUGGAUUGUUCUGCAUGUGUUGUCGCUGUUUUAGGAGAGCUACGAAGAUGAUGAAGGCUCCUGGAACAGAUGGGGAACUCUUUAUUCCAAGAGAUUACUUUGAAAGUGAUCCUAGAUCUUAUUUUGCUAAUCUUCGUGCUAGUAAUGCUACGCCCUUUUUGGUGUGAUUAUAGUAUAAUUAUCAUUAAGUUAGUUGUUGGUCAGUUUGUGCUUUAUGGUAUAGUGUUUGCUUGUUCAAUUAGCAUGACUAAUUAUGUUUUCUUGAGGUUUUUUAUUGGCGGUUAAGUAGAAUUCAGAAGUUUUAUGUCA